CUAUUUUUUGUAGAGAUGGGGGUCUCACUAUGUUGCCCAGGCUGCUGUGAGAACACUCUUCUAAGAUACAGGAUAUAACAUCCUAGAAAGAGCCCAGGAGGUGGGGCCAACAUGCUGCCUGUGUAGCCCCUGGAGGCUUGGAGAAAGCAUGGCCCUCUCUAAGCAGAGGUGCCAACAUUGCUGUGGCAGCCAGGGACAUCCGACCUUCCCAGAGCUGUGGAGGUGGCGAAUUGAGCAGGUUAUUCCUGUGGCCAAGGAGGAGAACAGCCCACAAAGUCAUUGCUUAAUCUACACAACCAAAAGAAAUCCAAGAUGGGAGAUGGAGGCUGAGGGCAGCUACCCCAGUGAAAAACUUCAGACCAGACCCCAGUGCCUGAAGGAGAGGCUGGGUUUCCAGGAGGAACAACUCCUUCACGGCAGUGAACGGAGUUUCAUACUUGUUGCCCAGGCUGGAGUGCAAUGGCACAAUCUUGGCUCACCACAAACUCUGCCUCCCAGAUUCAAGUGAGCUCUGUCACCCACGCUAGAGUGCAGUGGCAUGAUCGUAGCGUACUGCAACCUCCACCUCCUGGGCGCAAGAAAUGCUCCCACCUCAGCCUCCUGAGUAGCUGGGACUACAGGUGUGCACCACCACGCCCGGCUACACCACGCCUGGUCUUGAAUUCCUGGGCUCAAGGAGUCCUCUUGCCUCAGGCUACCAAAGUGCUGGGAUUAUAGGUGACAGCCACCGCACUCGGCCAAAAUUGGAAGAAUAUAUAUAUAUAUAUACCCGGUGAAAUAAUCACCACAAUCAAAAAAAUGACUACAUCCAUCACUGAAAACUUUCCUUAUGCCCUUCUGUGAUCCUUUUCUCCCUCCCCCAAGGACCCCUUGGAGAGGCAAGGCAAUGCCACAGGCAAGCACUGAUCUGCUUUCUGUUUGAUUCAUUUGCGAUUUCUAGAAUUUUAUAUAGAUGGAAUCAUACAAUGUGUACUCUUUUGUCUGGCUUCUUUCCAUUAGCAUAAUUAUUUUGAGAUUUAUCUGUAGUGAUGUGAAUAUCAAUAGUUUAUUAUUAUUUUUUCUUUUUUUCUUUUUUAGACAGGGUCUUGCUCUGUCACCCAGGUUGGAGUGCAGUUCAUUCUUUUAAAAUUGCUAAACAGUAUUCCAUAGCAUGGAUGUGCCAUAAUUUAUGCAUUCUUCUUUUUUUUUUUUUUUUGCCCCCGAGAUGGAGUCUUGCUCUGUUGCCCAGUGGCUCUAUCUCAGCUCACUGCAACCUCCGCCUCCCGGGUUUAAUCGAUACUCCUGCCUCAGCCUCCCGAGUAGCUGGGAUUACAGGCACAUGCCACCAUGUGCCGCUAAUUUUUGUAUUUUUAGUAGAGGUGGAGUUUCACCAUGUUGGCCAGACUGGUCUUGAACUCCUGACCUCAUGAUCCGCCCACCUCAGCCUCCCAAAGUGCUGGGACUACAGGGAUGAGCCACUGUGCCUGGCUGCAUUCUUCUGUUGAUGGACACUUGGGUUGUUUCCAGUUUCUAACUAUUACCAAUAAAGUGUCUAUACAUA